CUUAAUAUCGCUCCAUUUUACAGAUCUCUGUGGGACUCAGUGCCAUUCUCCGUGUGUAACCCUCACUGCAUCUGUCUAAUUUCCCAUUCUGUCUAUUUCUCUGUCUCCUGUAGUUACUCAGGAAAGUCCUGACUCAAUAGCCUUCCCAGCUGCUGGGUGGAUUGUCCAUCACCACAUUGAACGCAGUUGGUCUGCCAGAGGGAGACAAAGGGCAGGGAGAUCUGGAGCCUUCAAUAAAUCCUGUAGCGAGGUAUUCCUGAUGUCCCUGACUCAGCAGAAUUCCCAAUUCCUUCUCGUCCAUCACCACAUUGAAGCUGGUUGGUCAGCCAGAGAGAGAUGGAGAGUGAGAUCUGGAGCCUUCAGUAAAUCCUGCAGCCGGUACUCAGGAAGUUACUGACUCAAUAGACUUCCCAACUGCUGUGUGUCUCAUCCAUCACCUCAUUGAAGAUGGUUGGUCAGCCAGAGAGACAAAGGGCAGGGAGAUAUGGAGCCUUCAAUAAAUCCUGCAGUGAGGUAAUCAGGAUGUUCCUAACUCCUGUCUCAUCCAUCACCUCAUUGAAGCUGGUUGGUCAGCCAGAGAGAGAGAGAUGGAGAGGGAGAUCUGGAGCCUUCAGUAAAUCCUGCAGCCGGUCCUCAGGAAAGUGCUGACUCCAUAGACUUCCCAAUUGCUGGGUGUCUCGUCCAACACCUCAUUGAAGUUGAUUGGUCAGCCAGAGAGACAAAAGGCAGAGAGAUCUGGAGCCUUCAAUAAAUCCUGCAGUGAGGUACUCAGGAAAGUCCUGACUCAAUAGCCUUCCCAGCUGCGGGGUGGAUUAUCCAUCACCACAUUGAACGCAGUUGGUCUGCCAGAGGGAGACAAAGGGAAAGGAGAUCUGGAGCCUUCAAUAAAUCCUGUAGUGAGGUAUUCCUGAUGUCCCAGACUGAGCAGAAUUCCCAAUUCCUGUCUCGUCCAUCACCACAUUGAAGACGGUUGGUCAGCCAGAGAGAGAUGGAGAGUGAGAUCUGGAGCUUUUAGUAAAUCCUUCAGCCGAUGCUGCCUGAAGUCUGUGCCUUUUCAGAACCACAUUUUUUGACUCUGAUCUUCAGUAUCUGCAAUCCUCACUUUCUCUCUGGUGAAGGACAUGGGAGCUGUAAAUAUAUGGAGAAAUAGAUGGUGACAUCUUGAAAAAUGUCCAUAUUACAGAGGAAGAAGUGCUGGAUGUGUUGAAACGCAUAAAGGUGGAAAAAACCCCACGGACUGAUCGAUCAUGUGAAACUGGAAAGGGUUCAGAAAACAUUUACAUGCAUGUUACCAAGGUUGGAAGUUGAACAAGCUGGGGCUAUUUUCCCUGGAACGUUGGAAACUGAGGGGUGAUCUUAUAUAGGUUUAUAAAAUCAUUAAGGGCAUGGAUAGGGUAAAUAGACAUGGUCUUUUCCCUGGCGUGGUGGAGUCCAGAACUAGAGGGUAUAGGUUUCGGUUGGGAAAGGAAAAACGUAAAAGACAUGUAAGAGACAACUUUUUCACUCAAAGUGUUGUACAUAUCUGGAAUGAGCUGCCAGAGGAAGUGGUGGAGGUUAGUACAAUUGCAACAUUUAGACGGCGUCUGGAUGGGUAUAUGAAUAGAAAGUGUUUCGAGGGAUAUGGGCCGGGUGCUGGCAGGUGGGAAUAGAUUGGGUUGGGAUAUCUGGUCGGCAAAGACAAGUUGGACCGAAGGGUCUGUUUCCAUGUUGUACAUCUCUUUGACCCUGUGACUGUAAGUUAGAAAUGACAAUAAUUUGACAUGCACUAUCAAAUAAAUAAAUCGUUUAUAUUAUUAAAGUGUAGCAUACAACAAGUUGAAAACUUGCUAUUUUUAGAAUGAAUGCUAAAGAAUAAAGAACAUUCCAACACAGGAACAGACUCUUCAGCCCUCCAAGCCUGCGCUGAUCCAGAUCCUCCUAUUUUCCAAACCUGCCACCUAUUUUCUAAGGGUCUGUAUCCCUCUGCUCCCUACCCAUUCAUGUUUCUGUCUAAAAACAUCUUAGAUCACACUAUCGUUCCUGCCUCUACCACCACCGCUGGCCACCGUUCCAGGUUGCCACGGCCCUAUGUGUAAAGAACUUCCCACGUAUAUCUGCCCUAAACCUUUCCCCACUCACUUUAAACUCAUGAGUAAUUGAGUUCCACAAUCUGGGAGAAGAGCUUCUUGCUAUCCACCCUGUGUAUAUCUAUUUGACAUUGUAGACCUCAACCUUCGUCUUUGAAAUGAAAAUAGUCCUAAUCUACUUAAUCUUUCUUCAUAACCAGCACCGUCCGUCCCAGGCAGCAUCCUGGUGAAUCUACUCUGUACCCUAUUCAAAGCAUCCACAUUCUUUUGUUAAAGUGGUGACCAGAACUAUACGCAGUAUUCCAAAUGUGGCCAAACCAAAGUCCUGUGAAACUGUAGCGUGACCUUCCAAAUCUUGUACUCAACACUUGAUCCAAUGAAGGAAAGCAUGCCGUAUGCCUUAUUGACCACAUUAUUGACCUGCGUUGGCAUCUUCAGUAAACAAUGGACCCAAACACCCAGAUCUCGCUGUACGACAAUUUUCCCCAAGACUUUUCCGUUACUGUACUGUUCACUGUUGAACUGGAUCUUUCAAAAUGCAUCACCUCGCAUUUGCACAGAUUGAACUCUAUCUGCCAUUUCUGUGCCCAUCUCUCCAAUCUAUCUAUAUUCUGCUGUAUUCUCUGACAGUCCCCUUCACUAUCUGCUACUCCAACAAUCUUGGUGUCAUCUGCAAACUUGCUUAUUAGGCAACUGAUACCUUCUUCCAAAUCAUUGAUAUAUAUCACAAACAACAGUAGUCCCAGUACAGAUCGCUGUUGCACACCACUGGUCAUAGGUCUCCAUUUUGAGAAAUCCCCUUCCACUACUAUUCUCUGUCUCCUGUGGCCAAGCCAGUUCUCCAUCCAACUGGAUAGAAUACUCUGGACCCCAAUGCGACUUCACCUUCUCCAUCAGCCGACCAUGGGGAACCUAAUAAAACGCAUUACUCAAGUCCCUCAGUAUCUUCUCCAGCAGCUUCCCUACCACUGAUGUCAGGCUCGCUGUCCUACAAGUACCUGGAUUAUCCCCGCUAAACCUUCUUAAACAAGGAGACAAUAUUAGCAAUUCUCCAGUCGUCCGGGACCUCACCCAUGUUCAAUCAUCCUGCAAGGAUAUAUGUUAAAGCCCCAGUUAUUUCCACACUCACAUCCCUCAGGAAGCUGUGGUUGAUCCCAUCCGGACUUGGGGGCUUGUCUACCUUAAUACCUUUCAGAGUAUCCAAAACUUCCUCCCUCUCUUUGUCGACUUGACCCAGAGUACUCAGAGAUCUAUCCCUAACCUCAACAUCCGUCAUGUCCCACUCCUUGGUGAAUACAGAUGCAAAGUACCCUCUAAGAAUCUCACCCAUUUUCUCUGACUCCAUACAUAACUUUCUUCCUUUGUCCUUGUGUGGGCCAAACAUUUCUCUAGUUACCCUCUUGCUCCUGAAAAGAAGUCUUUGGGAUUUUCCUCAACCCUGUUUGCUAACGAUAUCUCAUGAGAACCUUUAGCCCUCAUAAAUCCUCGAUAUUUACUGUAAAAUGUGGCUAGUGAAAAGAAAAUAAACAUUUGUUCGAAAGAGUGGGAACUCACGCCUUUUCAAAGUGUUUCGUUCCAAAAAAAAAUUGAAAUCCUUCUCAGUGCAAAUAAAAAGCAAAAGAAGAAACCUCUUGGGAAGAGGAAUUUUCCGCCACUGUCCCUGCAAAGUGCUUCUGAGGUAGAAAAGAGUAAGGGUUUGUAACAAGGGCAUAACAGUAAAUAUGGGUGGCUUGAACGUGCAAAUUGGUUCAAUUAAUCAACUUGGCACUGAUAUCCUUGAAUAAAGAUUCAUAGAGUGUAUGAGAGGUUAUUUCUGAGAGCAGGACGUCAUGGAAACAGCGAGAGACUGGCGUUGCCCAGUGGUGAGCACAGCACCAAGGUCCCAGGUUCGAUUCUAGUCUCGGGGGACUGUCUGCGUGUAAUUUGCACUUUCUCCACGUAGGUUUUCUCUCACAGUUCAAAGAUAUGCAGGUCAGGUGAAUUGGCAAUGCUAAAUUGCUCACAGAGUUAGGUACAUUACUCAGAGAGAAAUGGGUGGCUUACUCUUCGGAUGUUCGGUGUGGACUUGUUGGGCCGAAAGACCUGUUUCCAUACUGUAGGGAAUCUAAUCUAAUUUAGAUUUGAUAUUAUGUAACAAGAAAGGAUUGGUGGAUGAGCUUUGCUUUGGAAUAACCACAACUUGCUAGAGUUUCACAUUCAGAGUGAAGACUGAGUCAUACAUGAAAGUUUUAGUGUUAGUCAAUGAUAAUUAAACUGGCC